rnacentral:rRNA from 1 species
UACGUAGGUGGCGAGCGUUAUCCGGAUUUAUUGGGUUUAAAGGGUGCGCAGGCGGGAGAUUAAGUCGGCGGUGAAAUUUUGCAGCUCAACUGUAAAAGUGCCUUCGAAACUGGUUUCCUUGAGUGUAGAUGAAGUAGGCGGAAUUUGUGGUGUAGCGGUGAAAUGCAUAGAUAUCACGAGGAACUCCGAUUGCGCAGGCAGCUUACUAAACUACUACUGACGCUCAGGCACGAAGGCGUGGGGAUCAAACAGGAUUAGAUACCCUGGUA